UAAACUAGGAUUAGAUACCCUAUUAUUUUAAAUGUAAAAAUUAUAAAUACUAAAUUAGUAUUAGUUAUGUUCUUGAAAAUUAAAAAAUUUGGCGGUAUUUUAGUCUUUUCAGAGGAAUCUGUCCUGUAAUUGAUAGUCCACGAUUAAAUUUACUUUAUUUAUUAGUUUACAUAUCGUCGUAGCAUGAAUAUUUUAAAAGAAAGUUAAUAUUCAAAAAUUUAAAUUAAAAAGUAAAUCAGAUCAAGGUGUAGUUUAUAAUAAAGAAGAGAUGGAUUACAAUAAAUUUAUUUUAGGAAAAUUUAUUAAAAAUAAGUUUGAAUUUGGAUUUGAAAGUAAUUUUAAAUAUUUUUUUUAUAUGAUUAUAGCUCUAAAAUAUGUACACAUCGCCCGUCGCUCUUAA
rnacentral:rRNA from 1 species